GCGGCGUGCCUAAUACAUGCAAGUCGAACGCGCAGCGAGAGGUGCUUGCACCUUUCAAGCGAGUGGCGAACGGGUGAGUAACACGUGGAUAACCUGCCUCAAGGCUGGGGAUAACAUUUGGAAACAGAUGCUAAUACCGAAUAAAACUUAGUAUCGCAUGAUAUCAAGUUAAAAGGCGCUACGGCGUCACCUAGAGAUGGAUCCGCGGUGCAUUAGUUAGUUGGUGGGGUAAAGGCUUACCAAGACGAUGAUGCAUAGCCGAGUUGAGAGACUGAUCGGCCACAUUGGGACUGAGACACGGCCCAAACUCCUACGGGAGGCUGCAGUAGGGAAUCUUCCACAAUGGGCGCAAGCCUGAUGGAGCAACGCCGCGUGUGUGAUGAAGGCUUUCGGGUCGUAAAGCACUGUUGUAUGGGAAGAAAUGCUAAAAUAGGGAAUGAUUUUAGUUUGACGGUACCAUACCAGAAAGGGACGGCUAAAUACGUGCCAGCAGCCGCGGUAAUACGUAUGUCCCGAGCGUUAUCCGGAUUUAUUGGGCGUAAAGCGAGCGCAGACGGUUGAUUAAGUCUGAUGUGAAAGCCCGGAGCUCAACUCCGGAAUGGCAUUGGAAACUGGUUAACUUGAGUGUUGUAGAGGUAAGUGGAACUCCAUGUGUAGCGGUGGAAUGCGUAGAUAUAUGGAAGAACACCAGUGGCGAAGGCGGCUUACUGGACAACAACUGACGUUGAGGCUCGAAAGUGUGGGUAGCAAACAGGAUUAGAUACCCUGGUAGUCCACACCGUAAACGAUGAAUACUAGGUGUUAGGAGGUUUCCGCCUCUUAGUGCCGAAGCUAACGCAUUAAGUAUUCCGCC
rnacentral:rRNA from 1 species